CAAUAGCGUAUAUUAAAGUUGUUGCGGUUAAAAAGCUCGUAGUUGGAUUUCUGGGCUGGCCGGACGGUCCACCUCACGGUGAGAACUGGCUGGUCGGCCCUUCCUCUCGAAGUGUUGCGGUGUUCUUAACUGAGUGCUGUGGCAAUUCGGGACCUUUACUUUGAAAAAAUUAGAGUGUUCAAAGCAGGCCUUCGCUUGAAUACAUUAGCAUGGAAUAAUGGAAUAGGACUUUGGUUCUAUUUUGUUGGUUUCUAGGACCGAAGUAAUGAUUAAUAGGACGAGUUGGGGGCGAUUAGUAUUUAAUUAGUUUUUUCAGAGGUGGAAAUUACUUUGG
rnacentral:rRNA from 1 species